rnacentral:rRNA from 1 species
GACGAACGCUGGCGGCGUGCCUAAUACAUGCAAGUUGAGCGCUGGGGGGUGGUACUUGUACCAACUGGGUGAGCAGCGAACGGGUGAGUAACGCGUGGGGAAUCUGCCUUUGAGCGGGGGACAACAUCGGGAAACGAGUGCUAAUACCGCAUAAAAACUUUAACCACAAGGUUUAAGUUUGAAAGAUGCAAUUGCAUCACCCAAAGAUGAUCCCGCGUUGUAUUAGCUAGUUUGUUAGGGAAAGGCUCACCAAGGCGAUGAUACAUAGCCGACCCUGGAGGGUGGUCGGCCCCCUCUGGACCUGGACACCGCCCAAGCUCCUUCGGGAGGCAGCCGGUGGGGAACUUUGGCCAUGGACGAAAGUCCUACCGGGCCACGCCGCGGGGGUGAAGAAGGGUCUCGGAUCGGAAAACCUCUUUUAUAGGGAAGAACGUUAGUGGGAGGUGAAAGCUCAUCAAUUGACGGUACCUACCCAGAAAGGGACGGCUAACUACGUG